rnacentral:rRNA from 1 species
AACGCGAAGAACCUUACCUACUCUUGACAUCCAGAGAACUUAGCAGAGAUGCUUUGGUGCCUUCGGGAACUCUGAGACAGGUGCUGCAUGGCUGUCGUCAGCUCGUGUCGUGAGAUGUUGGGUUAAGUCCCGUAACGAGCGCAACCCUUAUACUUAGUUGCCAACAGGUAAAGCUGGGGACUCUAGGUAGACUGCCGGUGUUAAACCGGAGGAAGGCGGGGACGAUGUCAAGUCAUCAUGGCCCUUACGGGCAGGGCUACACACGUGCUACAAUGGCUAGUACAGAGGGCGGCGAAGUCGUGAGAUGGAGCAAAUCCUUAAAAGCUAGUCGUAGUCCGGAUUGAAGUCUGCAACUCGACUUCAUGAAGUCGGAAUCGCUAGUAAUCGCAAAUCAGCAUGUUGCGGUGAAUACGUUCCCGGGUCUUGUACACACCG